rnacentral:tRNA from 1 species
CUGGAUAGCUCAGUUGGAUAGAGCAACAGACUGUAAAUCUGUGAGUCGCGGGUUCGAAUCCCGCUCCAAACCA